GGGGCCGUUAGGGGUUCUGUCAGGGGUUCUGUCAGGGUUUCUGUCAGGGCUGAGGGCGAAAUUUGUAUAAAUGCCUGAAGGGGGGUUCUCUCUAGAGAAAGGAAGGGCCCGGGGGGGCUGUGGGGAGUGUUCCCCAGAAAUCCGGCUGUCCACGCGUGUUGCAGGAUUUCCCGAGCCGCCUGGCAGCACCCAGAGAUAACGCUCAUCUGCUUCUGCUCAAGAGAGUAAAGUGUACUACUGGUGUCCAUAUGCAAGAUGGAAAGCAUGUUGAGAAACUCAAAUACAACAUCUUCAAAUGGCAGCACUAUGACAUAAAGGUUUCAGGAGACCUAUGUACAAUUGUUAACUAUGGACAUGGACCUGCUCAAGGAAAAAAAUCUGUUUUUAUUACAAAAAAAAUGCUGUCAAGCUUAUUCCAAGUUCAGUAUAAUCUACCUAUUCCUUCAUCACAUGAAAUAAAAAAGUGGAGAAAUGUUUCUAAUUAUGCACCUAUAGACAAACAUGUUAUGAACACUUCUAAUAGUCAUAUAAUGUAGUUAUUUUUGAUGGGAAAGGAUACAUUUUUAUCCCCCUGUGGAAAAAUGGUAAAGCACUGAUUAUGUUACCCCUGUGACAUUUUUACUUUUCAUGCUAUUUCAUCAAUAUUCAUGUGUUUUCUCCAUUAAAAACUCUUACAACAUGUUGAAAUAAUUAAAUCCCUCCCCCCAAAAAGCUAAUGCAGAAAGCUAAUUCAUGAAUGAGGUAAACAAUGACCAGGAAAACAUAAAUCAUAAGCAGAGAAUGCCAAUAGAAAAUAAUUUACUUACUGAAGACGAUUAUGCAA